CCUACCCCAAUUAAAUGUUUUCACAAAUUGUCUGCUCCUAUUCCUCUUCAGCACUAUGGUAAAGGAGACAGAGUUGUGAUCACUACCUCCAAAUUGCUCUCCCACUGAGAGAUCUGACACCUGACCAGAUUCAUUUCCCAAUACCAAAUCAAGUACAGCCUCUCCUCUAGUUGGCUUAUCUACAUAUUGUGUCAGGAAAACUUCCUAAACACACCUAACAAACUCCACCCCAGCUAAACCCCUUGCUUUAAGGAGAUGCCAGUCAAUACUAAGAAAAUUAAAUUUUCCCAUCACAACAACCCUAUUAUUAUUGCACCGUUCCAGAAUCUGCCUCCCUAUCUGCUCCUCGAUAUCCCUGUUACUACUGCAGAGCCUAUUAAAAAAUUCCAGUAGAAUUAAUGCCCCUUUCCUGAGUAGACAAUCUCUCCAUGACUUCCUCCUUUUCUGCAGCUGUGAUACUAUCCCUGAUUAGUAAUGCCACUCCCCCACAUCUUUUGCCUCCCUCCCUGUUCUUUUUGAAACAUCUAAAGCCCGGCACACUCAGCAGCCAUUCCUGCCCCUGAGUCACCCAAGUCUCUGUCAUGGCCACAUAUUGAUCCACACUUUAAGUUCACCCACCUUUCCCAUGAUCGUCCUGACAUUAAAAUAGACACAUUUCAAAUCAUCUGGCUGAGCGCUCCUUUGCUCUAUCAUCUGCCUAUCCUUCCUCAUAAACUCCCUACAAGUUGUCACUACUUGUGCACCAACCACCCCAUCCUCUGCCUCUUCACUUCAGUUCUCAAACCCUUGCAAACCUCUUUUAAACCCUCUCUCGCAGUAUUAGCAAACCUCCCUCCCGGGAUAUUGGUCCCCCUCCAGUUCAGGUGCAGCCCGUCCCAUUGGUACAGGUCACCCCUACCCCAAAAAGGAUUCCGAUGAUCCAAGAACUUGAAACCCUGCCCCCUGCACCAUCUCCUCAGCCACUCAUUCAUCUGUGUUAUCUUCCUGUUCUGACCUUCACUAGCUCGUGCCACUGGGAGUAAUCCGGAGAUUACUACCUUGGAGGUCCUGCUCUUCAGCCUCCUUCCUAACUCCCUAAACUUACUGUUCAGGACCUCUACCCCUCUCCUGCUCAAGCUCCCCUUUAAGAAUAUUCUGCGACAGCUAUGAGAUAUCCUGGACCCUAGCACCCAGGAGGCAACACACUAUCCUAGUGUCUCUUUUGCUGAUCUCCUGUAAGUCCCCCUAAUUAUCGAGUCCGCUUUGACUAUUGCUCGGCCUGGCUUCACCCUUCCCUUCUGAGGCUCUGAGCCGACCACAGUGCUGUUGGUCUGGCUGCUGCUGCCUUGCCCGGACAGGUCUCCCCCCUCAUCAGUUUCCAAAGGGGUAUAUCUGUUACUGAAGGGAAUAGCCACAAGGGGACCCUACACUGACUUCCUUCUCCUUUUUCCUCUCUCGGUGUUCACCCAUCUACUCCCCAAAUUCUGCUCACUGGGUGUAACCAGCUGCUCAAAAGUUGUAUCUAUCAAUUGCUCUGUCUCUCGGAUGAUCUGUAGUUCAUCCAACUCCAUCUCCAGCUCCUUAAUGUGGUCUUUCAGGAGCUGGAGUUGGCUGCACUUCCUGCAGGUGUAGUCAUCAAGGAGACAAUCAGGUCCCACAUCCUACAGGAGGAGCAUUCCACUAUCAUAUCUGCCAUCCUGCCUGCACUGUACAACCAAGACCAAAACCUCUAACCUGAUAAUAAGGCCUCAACCUCUUCUCAUUGAAGGCUCUUGAGUCAAAGCCUGACGCUCCUGCUCUCACCGCUCGUCUGCUCACACCAAUGGCUGCCCUGCUUGCCCCAUCUGCACUUUUAUUUAAUUUACUGUGCUCUGCUCCCAACACUGAUUGGACCUCUGGGAUGUCCGAAUACCUGCAAAGCUCUCCUUUUAUACUAGCUUCGUUGACCUGCGAGUAAACUCUUCAAAGUGCUCUGCUCCCAAUGCUGAUUGGACCUCUGGUUCAGAGGAGGAGGAGGUUUAUAAGAAUGAUUCAGAGAAUGAAAGGCUUGUCGAAUGAAGAGUGAUUGAUAGCUCUGGGUCUUUACUCAGUGGAAUUUAGAAGAAUGAGGGGGAUCUCAUUAAAACUUAUCAAAUGUUGAAAGGCCAAGAUAGAGUGGACAUGGAGAGGAUGUUUCUGUUAGUGGGGGAGUCUAGAACCAGAGGGCACAGCCUCAGAAUAGAGGGACAUCUGUUUAGAUCGGAGAUGAAGAGGAAUUUCUUUGUCCAGAGUAUAUCAGUAGAAUUCAUUGCCACAGGCAACAGUGGGGGUAUGUAAGGCAGAGGUUAAUAUGUUCUUGAUGAGUCAAGGGGUGAAAGAUUAUGUGGAGGUAAAGGAAAGGAGUAGAUAACAUGGAUGUGGAGAGGAUGUUUCCUCUUGAGGGGUUAUCCAGAAUGAGAGGGCACAGGGUCAAAAUUGAGGGGUGACCUUUCAGAACAGAAAUAAGGAGAAACUUUUUUAGCCAUAGAGUUGUGAAUCUGUGGAAAGCUCAGCCACAGACUACGGUGGAGAUCAAGUCCAUGGGUACAUUCAAAGUGGAAGUUGAUGGAUUCCUGAUUGAUCAGUGCAUCCAAGGGAUAUGGUGAGAGGGCAGGUGUAUGGGGUUGAAUGGGAUCUGGGAUCAGCCAUGAUGAAAUAGCAGAGCAGACUCAAAGGACCAAAUGGCCUAAUUCUUCUCCUAUAUCUUAUGGUCUUAUAGAGAAGGCAGGAGAAUGGGGUUGAAAAGGAAAUGGAUCAGCCAUGAUGAAAUAGCAGAGCAGACUCAAAGGACCAAAUGGCCUAAUUCUUCUCCUAUAUCUUAUGGUAUUAUGAUCUUAUAGUCUGUAUCAAUGGUGUUCAGAUGAACAAAGCUGAAAGCUUCAAGUUCUGAAAUGCAAAUAUCACAAACAAUUUGUCCUGGUCUAGCCAUAUGGAUAAGUCACCUGGGCCAGAUGGACCACAUCCCAGAGUCCCGAGGGAGGUUGCUGAAGAGAUAACAGAUGCAUUGGUCAUGAUCUUUCAAGAAUCACCUGAUUCUGGCAUGGUCCCAGAGGACUGGAAGAUUGCAAAUGUCGCUUUAUUCUUUAAGAAGGGAGGAAGACUAAAGAAAGGAAAUUAUUGGUCAGUUAGCCUAACCUUAGUGGUUGGGAAAGUGUUGGAGUAUAUUAUUAAGAAUGAGAUUUCAGGGUACUUGGAGAUUAAUGGUAAAAUAAAUCAAAGUCAGCACGGUUUCUGUAGAGGCAAAUCUUGCUUGACAAAUCUGUUAGAGUUCUUCGAGGAAGUUCUUCGGGUAGGCGGAGCAAAGUUAAGAUGGUGCUAACCGGCGACUCUUUUGCUUGCAUCUUCUGAAACAGCUCUAUUUCCCUCUUUAAUAUCUUUAUUUUUCCCUUUCAGGGUUCUUUUGGGACCUGGUCUCGUGAUAUAGGGACUGGCUGUUGUUCGGCACGCCAAGAGUUUGACCUGAGGGUCCGACUCGAAUUCAGAAGCUUAAGAUCUCAGGGGUCUGGAGACGGGCAGAUCAAGGGUCAGUGUCAUGGCAGGAGACCCGUGUGUCAAAGGGGGAGUCGGGGUAUCUGCUGUGGGCCCGAAGACCCAGGAUCUUUGCAAUCUUCAGGCACAGAGCUCAAAAAAAAGUGACAUAACGGACUUCCAACAUCGUAAACCAGCGAGUUGUUUGUUAUGUCUCCCUGCCCGCUGGGAAAACAGAGACACCUCUUUCUCCCUGAUUAGGGAGAGAGAGAGAACCUGCGAUAUGUUGGAUGCCAGGUGAAAUGUGGUCUUUAAGGCAGAAGAUACAGAAGUUUGAGGACAUGUGCGACCAGGAUCAAAGACAACUUCAUUCUGCUGUUACAAGACUCCUGAAUGGACCUCUUGUACAAUGAAGACAUACCCACCAUUUUCAGACCUUUCAGCCAGAGGCAUCGGACCUAUUUCCCAAAUUUCUGCCUGGAGUUCAAGGUCCCAUUGAAGCUCAAAGGUUGAUCAUUAGUCCUGAAGCCAAAACCCAGUGAGUGCAGACUAGAAACUGAAGGUCUGGAGAUUGGAGACUGGAAUCUGGAAGACUGGAGAUUGGAGAUUGGAAUCUGGAAGACUGGAGAUUGGAGACUGAAGAUUGGAGAUUGUUACCCUUGGGGGAUUGCUUCACCAAGCACAAUGCCCUGUCUUGUUGAACAAGUGCUCUGCCUGCCCCUACAUCUCCUCUCUCACAACCAUUCAGGGCCCCAGAGAGUCCUUCCAGGUGAGGCGACACUUCAGUUGUGAGUCUUCUGGGGUCUUCUACUGUUUCUGGUGCUCCCAGUGUGGCCUCCUGUAUAUCAGUGAGAGAUGAGAUAGAUUGCAAGACUGCUUCACCAAACACCUACACUUCAUCCUCCAGAAAAAAGCAGGAUCUCCUGGUAGCCACCCAUUUCAAUUGUACUUCCAUUUCCCAUUCCAUGUCAGUCCAUGGCUUCCUCUACUGCCACUGAGGCCACAUAGACUUGAUGGGCCGAAUGGCCUACUGCUGUUCCUACUGUAUGUCAUAUGUCAUUCAGGUUGGAGAAACAACACCCAAUAUUCCAUCCAACCUGAUGGCAUGAACAUCGAUUUCUCAAACUUCUGGUAUAUACUUCCUCCCCCGUCUCCUUUAACAUUCCUCAUUCCCAUUUCACUCUCUCAUCUUAUCUCCUUACCUGCCCAACACCUUCCUUGGCUGCUUUUGUCCCUUCCCUUUCUCCCAUGGUCUUCCAAUCAGAUCCGCCCUUCUUCAACUUCACAGCUCUUUACCUCUUCCCUCCCCCUCCCAAUUUCACCUGUCACCUACCACCUUGUACUUCCUUCCCUCCCCCCAUUAUCUUACUGUGACUUCUCACCUUCUUUUCCAGUCCUGAUGAAAGGUUUCGGCCCGAAACAUUGAUUGUUUAUUCUUUUCCAUAGGUGCUGCCUGGCCUGCUGAGUUCCUGCAGCAUUUUGUGUGUGCUGCUCGGAUUUCCAGCAUCUGCAGAUAUUCUCUUGCUUGUGAUUGGACGUCCUUACGAGCGUUAGUUCUUGGCCAAACAACGCAUUUCCCUGCGUGUGAUAGAUAUAUCUGAAUAAGAAUCUGAACCUACAGCCUCCUAUGUCGCCCAAAACAAACUCACCUCUUUCACAGCUGCUAUGUUCAAAUCUGUGAAUUAUUAGUUCGAAUAGCCUGCUAAAGAUCAGAAUUUGUUCCUUUAUUUGCACGUUUUGUGUUUGAUGUUUUCUUUAACCGGUUUCAUGGUGUUUCUUUGUUUCAUGGCUGCUGUGGGAGGACCAAUCUCAGAGUUGUAUCUGAGAUAGCAAAUGCACUUGAUUUUAGUUUUCACAAUAUUUCUAUAUUUCAGAUGCUUAGUGAAAACACCUCACAUUGAUUUUUUUUGGGGGGCCUCUCUUUGACCUGUUUGCUGUCAGAAAAAAGACAGAUACAUUUACAAAUUUAGAAUGAGAAGUGCUGAGCUGGCCUGACAGUAAUGACAGGUUGAACAAAAAUGCAAUUCCACUGUCUUUUAGUUUGUCUUUAUCCUCAACAUGCAUAUUUCAAACGUUACUAAUAGUGUGCACAUCUUGUCAGUGUUGGAGUGACUCACUGCGGCAUCGUCUACAUUGCAAUUUCUAUGUCACAUUUUGCUAUUAUUAUUUGAUAUAAAGGGAGCAAUGCCAAGAAAUUCAUCCUCAGUUAGUACCAAUAAAUUUGCAUUAUUAUAAUAUCAUCAUAUUAAAUUCUGACUAGAAAAUUUAUGCCAUCUAGAAUGAAUGAAAGACACUCUGUGGCCAGUUUAUUAGGUAUGGUAAUGGGUCCUGGUGUGGUCUUCUGCUGCUGUAGCCCAUCCAUUUCAAGGUUCAACAUAUUGUACACUCAGAGAUAUUCUUCUAUCUACCAUUGUUGUAAUAUGCGUGGUUAUUUGAGUUAUUAUCGCCAUCCUGUCAGUUUGAUUCUGAUCCUGAACCAUCUGGCCAUUCUCCUCUGACCUCUCACAUUAACAAGAUGUUUUCACCCACAGAAAUGCUGCUCACUGGAUUUUUUUUGUUUUUCACACCAUUCUCUGUAAACUCUAGAGACUGUUCUGCAUGAAAAUCCCGGGAGAUCAGCAGUUUCUGAGAUACUCAAACCACCCCGUCUGGUACCAACAAUCAUUCCACAGUCAAAGUCACUUAGAUCUCAUUUCUUCCCCAUUCUGAUAUUUAGUCUGAACAACAACUGAGCCUCUUGACCAUGUCUGCAUGUUUUUACAUGUUGUGUUGCUGCAACAUGAUUGGCUGAUUAGAUAGUUAACAAGCAGUUGUACAUUUGUACCUAAUAAAGUGGCCACUGAGUGUCCAUUUCAGAGAGUAUAAUGCACUGGCACUAUCUCAUAAAGCAUUAGUCGCCACUAAAUAGGGACAAAAUUUUGGCUAUUUAAUCUAUGGUUCACUUGAACAAUGCCAUAGAAUGCCAUAACAAUGCUGGCUCUUUUACACAAGUAUCAUAUACUAUCAAAGACGCUCAUCAUCCAUGUACUCUAUUCUCGCUACUACAAUUGAGCAGAAGGUACAGAAGCUUCAGGUCACACACCAGGUUCAGGAACAGUUAUUACCUUCAACCAUCUAGUUUCUGAACUGGCAUGAAUAACUUCAAUCACCACACCUCUGAACCGAUUCUACAACCUUUGGACUCACUUCAAAAAAGCUCUUUAACCUCAUGUUCUUAGAAUUUUACUGUUAUUUGCACAGUUUGUCUUCCACUACAGAUCGGCUGUUUUUCAGUCAUUUUCGUACGGCUUUUCAUAGAUUCUACUGCAUUUCUUUAUAUUUCCUGAAAAUGAUGGCAAGAAAAUGAAUCUCAAGGUAGUACCUGGUAACAUGCAAGUGCUUUGAUAAUAAAUUUACUUUGAACUUUGAUACUAGAACACAGAAUAGUACAGCACAUUACAGCCCCUUCGGCCCACAAUGUUGUGCCGACCCUCAAACCCUGCCUCCCAUAUAACCCCCCACCUUAAAUUCCUCCAUAUACCUGUCUAGUGGUCUCUUAAACUUCACUAGUGUAGUUCACCCUUGCUUCCUAAACCUCACGUGUGCUGCCCUAUAUUGUAUACUGUUAUAUUUUUCAUAUCCCUGCAUUAACAAUAUUUAAAAGACAUUUGGAUAGGCACAUGGAUGGGAAAGGAUUUGGAACUUGAAUUGGAAUUGCAAUCAAAAUGUGCUUAUUAUUGUCACGUGUUCCAAUAUACAAGGUAGAAUAAAGUGUAUUAACUACAGAGAAAGUGUAGUGCACAUACACAAUAAAUGUUCAAAGUAAAUUUAUUAUCAAAGUAAAUAUAUGUCACCACACACUACCCUGAGAUUCAUUUCUGUGGGCAUUCACAAUAAAUACAAAGAAACACAAUAAAGUCAAUGAAAGCACACACAACAAAUACAAACAACCAAAGUACAAAAGAAUACAAGCUGCAAGUACAAAAAGGAAAAAAGUAGCAACAAAUGCAAUAAAUAAUUAAGUAAUAAAUUUCAAGAACAUGAGAUGCAGAAUUCUUAAAACUGAGUUCAUACAUUGUGCAUCGGUUGUGAAAUCAGUACAGUGCUGGGGUGAGUGAAAUUGAGUGAAGAUACCCCUUCUGGUUCAGGAGGGGGUAAUAACUGUUCCCGACCCUGAUGGUGUGGAACUUUAGGCUCCUGUACCUCCUUUCUGGUGGCAGCAAAGAGGAGAAAGCAUGAUGUGGAUGGCAGUGAUCCUUGCUGAAGGUGCAAGGUCACAACAAAGUAGAUUGUAAAUUCAAGAAUCCAUUUUAUACUUCUGAACCAGAAUCAGAAUUUAAAAUCUGGUUUAUUAUCACUGACAUAUGUCAUGAAAUUUGAUUAUUUGACCAUUCAUUUGUCUUGAAACAGGGACCAAAUAAGGUUCAAAUAGGAGUGGCUUAUAUGGCAUCUGGUAUAGCAUGGAUGAGAUGGGGCUGUUCCCAUUCUGUAUUACUCUAUGACGCUAUAACUUUCUUGAUGGAGCAUUGAGCCACUACAAAGUUCAAAAUUCAAAAUAAAUUUAUUAACAAAGUAGAUAUAUGUCACCAUGACAACCUUGAGAUUUAUUUUUUUCUGGGCAGACUCAAUAAAUCCAUAAUAGAAUAAUAACCAUAAUAGAAUUAGUGACAGAUCACAUGAA